rnacentral:rRNA from 1 species
CCUACGGGAGGCAGCAGUGAGGAAUAUUGGUCAAUGGACGCGAGCCUGAACCAGCCAAGUCGCGUGCGGGAUGAAGGUUCUAUGAGUCGUAAACCUCUUUUAUAAGGGGGUAAAGUGUGGGACGUGUCCUAUUUUGUAUGUACCUUAUGAAUAAGGAUCGGCUAACUCCGUGCCAGCAGCCGCGGUAAUACGGAGGAUCCAAGCGUUAUCCGGAUUUAUUGGGUUUAAAGGGUGCGUAGGCGGCUUUUUAAGUCAGCGGUGAAAGGUUGGGGCUCAACCCUAGAAUUGCCUUUGAUACUGGUGGUCUAGAGUAUGUAUGCGGUAGGCGGAAUGUGUGGUGUAGCGGUGAAAUGCUUAGAGAUCACGCAGAACCCCGAUUGCGAAGGCAGCUUGCCAAGCCAUGACUGACGCUGAGGCACGAAAGCGUGGGGAGCAAACAGGAUUAGAUACCCCUGUAGUC